rnacentral:rRNA from 1 species
AGAGUUUGAUUCUGGCUCAGGAUGAACGCUGGCGAUAUGCUUAACACAUGCAAGUCGAACGGUCUCUUCGGAGAUAGUGGCGGACGGGUGAGUAACGCGUGAGAAUCUGCCUUCAGGUCUGGGACAACCAUUGGAAACGGUGGCUAAUACCGGAUGAGCAGAGAUGUGAAAGAUUAAUUGCCUGAAGAGGAGCUCGCGUCUGAUUAGCUAGUUGGUGGGGUAAGAGCUUACCAAGGCGACGAUCAGUAGCUGGUCUGAGAGGACGAUCAGCCACACUGGGACUGAGACACGGCCCAGACUCCUACGGGAGGCAGCAGUGGGGAAUUUUCCGCAAUGGGCGAAAGCCUGACGGAGCAAUACCGCGUGAGGGAGGAAGGCUCUUGGGUCGUAAACCUCUUUUCUCAGGGAAGAAAAAAAUGACGGUACCUGAGGAAUAAGCAUCGGCUAACUCCGUGCCAGCAGCCGCGGUAAUACGGAGGAUGCAAGCGUUAUCCGGAAUGAUUGGGCGUAAAGCGUCCGCAGGUGGCUAUGUAAGUCUGCUGUUAAAGAGCAAGGCUCAACCUUGUAAAAGCGGUGGAAACUACAUAGCUAGAGUGCGUUCGGGGCAGAGGGAAUUCCUGGUGUAGCGGUGAAAUGCGUAGAGAUCAGGAAGAACACCGGUGGCGAAAGCGCUCUGCUA